AGGGGAUAAGCAUAAACCGGUCAAUUAUAGACCUAUUUCAUUAACUUGUAUUUGCUGCAAGUUAAUGGAACACAUAGUAACAUCACACAUUAUGAAACAUCUCGAAUCAAAUAACAUCUUGUACGACCUUCAACAUGGCUUUCGGCACUCUCGUUCUUGUGAGACACAACUUCUCUCCUUCAUUCAAGAACUUCAAUCCACAAACAAUUCAAAUACACAAACAGACCUUGUAAUAAUGGACUUUGCGAAAGCCUUUGAUAAAGUUCCGCAUCGUCACUUACUAUACAAAUUACACUAUUUUGGCAUUAAUGGAAACACUUUAAAUUGGAUCUCUGCAUUUCUCUCUGAUCGAACCCAGACAGUUGUUCUGGAUGGAAGAUCAUCAAGCACAGUCCCAGUCACCUCUGGGGUUCCUCAAGGUACUGUCUUAGGUCCUGUCUUAUUCUUGGCGUAUAUCAACGACCUUCCAGACUACCUUACACAUAGCAAACUAAGACUAUUUGCUGAUGACAGUAUCUUAUACAUGCCAGUUAAAUCCCAGAGUGACUGCCUAAAACUGCAAGCUGACCUUGACGCAGCUGCAAAAUGGGAAGAGGACUGGCUGAUGGCCUUCCACCCAGACAAGUGUAAUGUUCUCUCUGUAACAACUAAACGUCAACCUUUAAAACAUAAUUACACUCUCCACAAUCAUAUACUAGAAUCUGUUACAUCUGCUAAGUACUUAGGCAUCACAUUACAAUCAAACCUUAAAUGGGACAAACACAUAGAUGACAAUAUAUCAAAGGCCAACAAAACUCUCGGCUUCCUUCGAAGAAAUCUGAAAACAUCAAACCAAAACAUCAAGAGCCAGGCAUACCAAGCACUUGUCCGUCCCAAACUCGAAUACUCUUGCUCAGUUUGGGACCCCCACACUUCAGAAUCUAUUUCAAAGAUAGAGAUGGUCCAAAGGCGAGCUGCUCGGUAUGCCUGCAACAGGUAUCAUAAUACUAGUAGUGUAUCAAACAUGCUGAACACACUAAACUGGCCUAUUUUGACACAACGCAGACUGCGUGCACGACUGGUUAUGAUGUACAAGAUCACACAUCAACUUGUUGCUAUACCAUCUAGCACAAUUCUCAUUCCAUCAGACUCAAGAACCAGAAAACAUCAUUCUCACACCUUCAGACAUAUUUAUACAUCAAAAGACUCGUACAGAUUUUCAUUCUUCCCAUACACAAUAACUCAAUGGAAUCUUUUACCAACCACAGUAGUAAAUACACAGACAGUCGACUCUUUCAGAGAUCAGCUAACAUAUGCUGUUCUCUCCACUAUUAUUUAAAAAACUUCAUCUCAUGUACAUAGUUUUAAUCACUACAUCUGUUCUUUGCACUGUUUGUAAAUAUAACUUAAUUUUAAUAAAUAGGCCACGUAUGCACCAGUUAUUAAUCAUCUUUAUUCAGAUGGAAAACUGGAAAACUUAAAGAAGAAGAAGAAGA
rnacentral:lncRNA from 1 species